rnacentral:rRNA from 1 species
UACGUAGGUGGCAAGCGUUGUCCGGAUUUACUGGGCGUAAAGAGCGCGCAGGCGGUUAUUCAAGUCGAAUGUGAAAGCCCCCGGCUUAACUGGGGAGGGUCAUUCGAUACUGUUUAACUUGAAGGCAGGAGAGGGUAGUGGAAUUCCCGGUGUAGUGGUGAAAUGCGUAGAUAUCCGGAGGAACACCAGAGGCGAAGGCGGCCUACUGGGCCAGCACUGACGCUGAGCCGCGAAAGCCAGGGGAGCGAACGGG